rnacentral:tRNA from 1 species
GACGAGGUGGCCGAGUGGUUAAAGGCGAUGGACUGCUAAUCCAUUGUGCUCUGCGCGUGGGUUCGAAUCCCAUCCUCGUCG